rnacentral:tRNA from 5 species
UCCGGGAUGGUGUAAUGGUAGCACAAGUGACUCUGGAUCAUUCGGUCUGGGUUCGAGUCCUAGUCCCGGAGCCA